GCGGCGGGGUUAAACAUUUUUUUUUUUGAGAUCUCAACCCUGUUUUUGGUAACAGCAUAUGAUUUAAUAUUUACAUCAUUAAGAUAUAAUAAUAAUGACAAAAACCUACUUCGGUUUACAAAAAAAAAAAAAAAAAAAAAAAAACAUUAUUUAACCGUUGCUAAGCACUAUUUUGGUUGCUGAUCUUUUUAUCAGUAUGAUAUACAAUUGACUUGCUUUCAUUUCUUACUGCUAGUUAUUCUUGCAUGUAUUAACCAAUCUAACCUGAUUUUACUCUAAUUUGUACAAUUAAAAAACAAAAGGUUUUUUUUGUAGUUCAAUUUAAUUUCUAUC
rnacentral:lncRNA from 1 species